AGGUCGGUAGCUCUAAUGGCUAGAGCGCCGGAUUCCAAAUCCGAUGGUUGUGGGUUCGAAUCCCUCCCGGCCUG
rnacentral:tRNA from 1 species